rnacentral:rRNA from 1 species
GACGAACGCUGGCGGCGUGCUUAACACAUGCAAGUCGAACGGAAAGGCCCUGCUUUUGUGGGGUGCUCGAGUGGCGAACGGGUGAGUAACACGUGAGUAACCUGCCCUUGACUUUGGGAUAACUUCAGGAAACUGGGGCUAAUACCGGAUAGGAGCUCCUGCUGCAUGGUGGGGGUUGGAAAGUUUCGGCGGUUGGGGAUGGACUCGCGGCUUAUCAGCUUGUUGGUGGGGUAGUGGCUUACCAAGGCUUUGACGGGUAGCCGGCCUGAGAGGGUGACCGGCCACAUUGGGACUGAGAUACGGCCCAGACUCCUACGGGAGGCAGCAGUGGGGAAUAUUGCACAAUGGGCGGAAGCCUGAUGCAGCAACGCCGCGUGCGGGAUGACGGCCUUCGGGUUGUAAACCGCUUUCGCCUGUGACGAAGCGUGAGUGACGGUAAUGGGUAAAGAAGCACCGGCUAACUACGUGCCAGCAGCCGCGGUGAUACGUAGGGUGCGAGCGUUGUCCGGAUUUAUUGGGCGUAAAGGGCUCGUAGGUGGUUGAUCGCGUCGGAAGUGUAAUCUUGGGGCUUAACCCUGAGCGUGCUUUCGAUACGGGUUGACUUGAGGAAGGUAGGGGAGAAUGGAAUUCCUGGUGGAGCGGUGGAAUGCGCAGAUAUCAGGAGGAACACCAGUGGCGAAGGCGGUUCUCUGGGCCUUUCCUGACGCUGAGGAGCGAAAGCGUGGGGAGCGAACAGGCUUAGAUACCCUGGUAGUCCACGCUGUAAACGGUGGGUACUAGGUGUGGGGUCCAUUCCACGGGUUCCGUGCCGUAGCUAACGCUUUAAGUACCCCGCCUGGGGAGUACGGCCGCAAGGCUAAAACUCAAAGGAAUUGACGGGGCCCCGCACAAGCGGCGGAGCAUGCGGAUUAAUUCGAUGCAACGCGUAGAACCUUACCUGGGUUUGACAUGGAUCGGGAGUGCUCAGAGAUGGGUGUGCCUCUUUUGGGGUCGGUUCACAGGUGGUGCAUGGCUGUCGUCAGCUCGUGUCGUGAGAUGUUGGGUUAAGUCCCGCAACGAGCGCAACCCUUGUUCAUUGUUGCCAGCACGUUAUGGUGGGGACUCAGUGGAGACCGCCGGGGUCAACUCGGAGGAAGGUGGGGAUGACGUCAAGUCAUCAUGCCCCUUAUGUCCAGGGCUUCACGCAUGCUACAAUGGCUGGUACAGAGAGUGGCGAGCCUGUGAGGGUGAGCGAAUCUCGGAAAGCCGGUCUCAGUUUGGAUUGGGGUCUGCAACUCGACCUCAUGAAGUCGGAGUCGCUAGUAAUCGCAGAUCAGCAACGCUGCGGUGAAUACGUUCCCGGG